CCCUGUAAUUGGAAUGAGUACACUUUAAAUCCUUUAACAAGGACCUAUUGGAGGGCAAGUCUGGUGCCAGCAGCCGCGGUAACUCCAGCUCCAAUAGCGUAUAUUAAAGUUGUUGCGGUUAAAACGUUCGUAGUUGAACUUGUGCUUCAUACGGGUAGUACAACUAUAAUUGUAGUCUGUACUGUACCUUAUGUAUGUAAGCGUAUUACCGGUGGAGUUCUUAUAUGUGUUAAGUACUUGUAUUUUUCGCAUAUUCCUCCUAUUUAAACCUGCUUCAGUGCUCUUCAUCGAGUGUUGUUGUGGGCCGGUACAAUUACUUUGAACAAAUUAGAGUGCUUAAAGCAGGCUCCAAAUGCCUGAAUAUUUUGUGCAUGGAAUAAUGAAAUAAGACCUCUGUUCUACUUUCAUUGGUUUUUAGAUCAAGAGGUAAUGAUUAAUAGAAGCAGUUUGGGGGCAUUAGUAUUACGACGCGAGAGGUGAAAUUCUUGGACCGUCGUAAGACUAACUUAAGCGAAAGCAUUUGCCAAAGAUGUUUUCAUUAAUCAAGAACGAAAGUUAGAGGUUCGAAGGCGAUCAGAUACCGCCCUAGUUCUAACCAUAAACGAUGCCAGCUAGCAAUUGGGUGUAGCUACUAUCAUGGCUCUCUCAGUGGCUUCCCGGGAAACCAAAGCUUUUGGGCUCCGGGGGAAGUAUGGUUGCAAAGCUGAAACUUAAAGGAAUUGACGGAAGGGCACCACCAGGAGUGGAGCCUGCGGCUUAAUUUGACUCAAC
rnacentral:rRNA from 1 species